UACGGAGGGUGCAAGCGUUAAUCGGGAUUACUGGGCGUAAAGCGCACGCAGGCGGUUUGUUAAGUCAGAUGUGAAAUCCCCGAGCUUAACUUGGGAACUGCCUUUGAGACUGGCAAGCUAGAGUCUUGUAGAGGGGGGUAGAAUUCCAGGUGUAGCGGUGAAAUGCGUAGAGAUCUGGAGGAAUACCGGUGGCGAAGGCGGCCCCCUGGACAAAGACUGACGCUCAGGUGCGAAAGCGUGGGGAGCAAACAGG
rnacentral:rRNA from 1 species